rnacentral:rRNA from 1 species
GACGAACGCUGGCGGCGUGCUUAACACAUGCAAGUCGAACGAAGAGCGAUGGAAGCUUGCUUCUAUCAAUCUUAGUGGCGAACGGGUGAGUAACGCGUAAUCAACCUGCCCUUCAGAGGGGGACAACAGUUGGAAACGACUGCUAAUACCGCAUACGAUCUAAUCUCGGCAUCGAGGAUAGAUGAAAGGUGGCCUCUACAUGUAAGCUAUCACUGAAGGAGGGGAUUGCGUCUGAUUAGCUAGUUGGAGGGGUAACGGCCCACCAAGGCGAUGAUCAGUAGCCGGUCUGAGAGGAUGAACGGCCACAUUGGGACUGAGACACGGCCCAGACUCCUACGGGAGGCAGCAGUGGGGAAUCUUCUGCAAUGGACGAAAGUCUGACGGAGCAACGCCGCGUGAGCGAUGACGGCCUUCGGGUUGUAAAGCUCUGUUAAUCGGGACGAAAGGCCUUCUUGCGAAUAGUGAGAAGGAUUGACGGUACCGGAAUAGAAAGCCACGGCUAACUACGUG